UAGAACCUGAAUUGUACACAUUAAUUUCUUUUUUGAACAUGUUAGGUACGUGUGUACAGAGUACAGACCUCCAAAUUCAUGAAGUUAACUAUACUUUUGACAUCACCUAUAUUAUAUGUAUACCUAAACCUAACCUUAUUUCGGGCUCUAUAUAUACUACUCGUUAGGAUUAAGCCUGCGUUAUCGUCAAAUUCGUUUUUCGAACACGUCAUAUUUGAUUAUAAUUUCUAAUUACUGUUUCUUAUAGAU